CCCGCUGAGUUUAAGCAUAUCACUAAGCGGAGGAAAAGAAACUAACAAGGAUUCCCCUAGUAGCGGCGAGCGAACCGGGA
rfam:Marchantia polymorpha subsp. polymorpha scaffold3536, whole genome shotgun sequence.